rnacentral:rRNA from 1 species
UACAGGGGGUGCAAACGUUGCUCGGAAUCAUUGGGCGUAAAGCGCACGUAGGCGGUUCGUUAUGUCGGAUGUGAAAGCCCUUGGCUUAACCGAGGAAGUGCAUCCGAAACUGGCGAGCUAGAGUACUAAAGAGGAUCGCGGAAUUCCCGGUGUAGAGGUGAAAUUCGUAGAUAUCGGGAGGAACACCGGUGGCGAAGGCGACUCACUGGACACAUAUUGACGCUGAGGUGCGAAAGCGUGGGGAGCAAACAGG